rnacentral:rRNA from 1 species
UACGUAGGGGGCAAGCGUUGUCCGGAAUUACUGGGCGUAAAGCGCGCGUAGGUGGUUCGUUAAGUUGGAUGUGAAAUCCCCGGGCUCAACCUGGGAACUGCAUUCAAAACUGACGAGCUAGAGUAUGGUAGAGGGUGGUGGAAUUUCCUGUGUAGCGGUGAAAUGCGUAGAUAUAGGAAGGAACACCAGUGGCGAAGGCGACCACCUGGACUGAUACUGACACUGAGGUGCGAAAGCGUGGGGAGCAAACAGG